GUCCGGGUGGCGAAAUGGUAGACGCGCAAGCUUGAGGUGCUUGUGUCCGAUAUAGGACAUAGGGGUUCAAGUCCCCUUCCGGACA
rnacentral:tRNA from 1 species